AUUGGGACGAUACACAGAAAAUUAGCAUGGCCCUCACGCGACAGGAAUGACACGCACAAAUCGAAAAAAGUCCAAGUAUUUUUUUGAGAUUU
rnacentral:snRNA from 1 species